GACGGAGGAGGCAAGCGUUAUCCGGAAUUAUUGGGCGUAAAGGGUACGUAGGCCGCUGGUCAAGUCUGGGGUCAAAGGCCACAGCUCAACUGUGGGAAGGCCCUGGAAACUGACAGGCUAGAGUGAGGUAGGGGUUGCGGGAAUUCCCGGUGUAGCGGUGAAAUGCGUAGAGAUCGGGAAGACCACCUGAGGCGGAAGCGCGCAACUGGGCCUCAACUGACGCUGAGGUACGAAAGCUAGGGGAGCGAAUGGG
rnacentral:rRNA from 1 species